AGGUGCAAUCAUUCUAGCACUAAUGCACCAGAUCCAAUCUGAACUCCGCACUUAAGCGUGCUUGGGAAAGAGUAGUACUAGGUUGGGGGACCUCGUGGGAAGUCCUCGUGUUGCACCCC
rnacentral:rRNA from 1 species